rnacentral:rRNA from 1 species
GUCUAUGGCCAUACUACCCUGAACAAGCCCAGUCCGUCUGAUCUCGGAGGCUAAGCAGGGUCAGGCCUGGUUAGUACUUGGAUGGGAGACCACCUGGGAAGACCAGGCGCUGUAGGAG